rnacentral:lncRNA from 1 species
GCACGGACCUUCUGGCAUUCUCUCCUCAUUCUCUCUUUCUCCUUUUCUCCCUCUCUCGUUCUCCUUUUCCCUUUUCCCCUCCCCCUCCCUCCCUCCCUUUAUAGGGGUGUAUCCGCAGAGUCUUCAGUGAGCCAGGGUACCUAGACGAGAGGAUUAUUAUACAGAAAGGCAGGGCGGUUUUACUGGCUGCUUCGUCUCACUCUGUUGAAAUCCUUAGGCAACGCAUGCAAAGGACCCUUUCCGGUUAACGCCCUGACUUCUGGUAUAAUGCCUUUUCAUUUUGGCCCAGAAAGCACACCAUCCUUCAUUCAGAAGUAACACCGAGAGUUGAUGUGUUGCCAUCAUUAAUCACAGGACUUUAAUCUUCAGCAGCUUUGCAGUGUAUAAAAAGUGUUAUCAAAUAAAUCCACCGUACCAAGAGCUUAACCGGGUAACGAUUACCUCUCCCAGAUGCCUACCACAGCAUGGUGUGCCAAGCAGUGCCAUGGCUGCACCCCGGAUCUGAACCGGCGAACCCCAGGCCGCUGAGAAGUGGAACGUGUGCACUUAAUUGCUGUGCCACCAGGCUGGCCCCAAAACACGUGAUUCUUAGAGAUUAGCCGUGAGCUAACUGCUGCCAAUCCUUCUCUUUUUGCUGAAGAAGACUGGCCCUGAGCUAACAUCUGUGCCCAUCUUCCUCUACUUUAUAUGUGGGAUGCCUACCACAGUGUGGCAUGCCAAGCGAUGUCAUGUCUGCACCUGGGAUCUGAAUCAGCAAACCCCGGGCCGCUGAGAAGCAGAACAUGUGCACUUAACUGCUGCGCCACCAGGCCGGCCCUGAUUACAUUAUUUUUCACCUUUUACAGUUUACAUUAGGCUCUGAAGAUUUUAUAAAUUUUUUUUGUUUUAAAAUGUUUUAAAUAAAUUAAAGAUUAAUUUCAAACAAAAAC